CCAAUAGCGUAUAUUAAAGUUGUUGCAGUUAAAAAGCUCGUAGUUGAAUUUCGGGAUCAAAUUGUCGGUCGUGCCUCGGUACGUACUGGUAUUAUUGGUUCCUCCCUUCUGACGAACCACGAUGUCAUUAAUUUGGUGUCGUGGGAAAUCAGGACUGUUACUUUGAAAAAAUUAGAGUGUUUAAAGCAGGCUCGCGCUUGAAUACAUUAGCAUGGAAUAAUGAAAUAGGACGUUUGAUUCUAUUUUGUUGGUUUCUAGGAUCGACGUAAUGAUUAAUAGGGAUAGUUGGGGGCAUUAGUAUUCAAUUGUCAGAGGUGAAAUUCUUGGAUUUAUUGAAGACUAACUACUGCGAAAGCAUUUGCCAAGGAUGUUUUCAUUAAUCAAGAACGAAAGCUAGGGGAUCGAAGACGAUCAGAUACCGUCGUAGUCUUAACCAUAAACUAUGCCGACUAGGGAUCGGAUGAUGUUAAUUUUUUAAUGACUCAUUCGGCGCCUUACG
rnacentral:rRNA from 1 species